rnacentral:rRNA from 1 species
AGUGAACGCUGGCGGUAGGCCUAACACAUGCAAGUCGAACGGCAUCACAGUAAUAGCUUGCUCUUACGGGUGGCGAGUGGCGGAUGGGUGAGGAAUACAUCGGCAUCUACUUUUUCGUGGGGUCUAACGUAGGGAAACUUACGCUAAUACCGCAUCCGACUUACGUGUGAAAGCAUGGGAUCUUCGGACCUUGCGCGAUUGAAUGAGCCGGUGUCGGAUUAGCUAGUUGGCGGGGUAAUGGCCCACCAAGGCGACGAUCCGUAGCUGGUCUGAGAGGAUGAGAAGCCACACUGGAACUGAGACACGGUCCAGACUCCUACGGGAGGGAGCAGUGGGGAAGAUUGGACAAAGGGAGCAAGCCUGAUCCAGACAUACCGCGUGGGUGAAGAAGGCCUUCGGGUUGGAAAGCCCUUUUGUUGGGAAAGAAAAGCAGCAGGUUAAUACCCCGCUGUUCUGACGGUACCCAAAGAAUAAGCACCGGCUAACUUCGUG